rnacentral:rRNA from 1 species
AGAGUUUGAUCAUGGCUCAGAUUGAACGCUGGCGGCAGGCUUAACACAUGCAAGUCGAACGAUGAUUACUAGCUUGCUAGUAUGAUUAGUGGCGAACGGGUGAGUAAUGCUUAGGAAUCUACCUAUUAGUGGGGGACAACAUUCCGAAAGGAAUGCUAAUACCGCAUACGUCCUAUGGGGGAAAGCAGGGGAUCGCAAGACCUUGUGCUAAUAGAUGAGCCUAAGUCGGAUUAGCUAGUUGGUGGGGUAAAGGCCUACCAAGGCGACGAUCUGUAGCUGGUCUGAGAGGAUGAUCAGCCACACUGGGACUGAGACACGGCCCAGACUCCUACGGGAGGCAGCAGUGGGGAAUAUUGGACAAUGGGCGAAAGCCUGAUCCAGCCAUGCCGCGUGUGUGAAGAAGGCCUUUUGGUUGUAAAGCACUUUAAGUGGGGAGGAAAAGUUGACGGUUAAUACCCGCCAGCCCUGACGUUACCCACAGAAUAAGCACCGGCUAACUCUGUGCCAGCAGCCGCGGUAAUACAGAGGGUGCAAGCGUUAAUCGGAAUUACUGGGCGUAAAGCGAGCGUAGGUGGUCAUUUAAGUCAGAUGUGAAAUCCCCGGGCUUAACCUGGGAACUGCAUCUGAUACUGGGUGACUAGAGUAGGUGAGAGGGAAGUAGAAUUCCAGGUGUAGCGGUGAAAUGCGUAGAGAUCUGGAGGAAUACCGAUGGCGAAGGCAGCUUCCUGGCAUCAUACUGACACUGAGGUUCGAAAGCGUGGGUAGCAAACAGGAUUAGAUACCCUGGUAGUCCACGCCGUAAAC